GAUGAACGCUGGCGGCGUGCCUAAUACAUGCAAGUCGAGCGAACGGACGAGAAGCUUGCUUCUCUGAUGUUAGCGGCGGACGGGUGAGUAACACGUGGAUAACCUACCUAUAAGACUGGGAUAACUUCGGGAAACCGGAGCUAAUACCGGAUAAUAUUUUGAACCGCAUGGUUCAAAAGUGAAAGACGGUCUUGCUGUCACUUAUAGAUGGAUCCGCGCUGCAUUAGCUAGUUGGUAAGGUAACGGCUUACCAAGGCAACGAUGCAUAGCUGACCUGAGAGGGUGAUCGGCCACACUGGAACUGAGACACGGUCCAGACUCCUACGGGAGGCAGCAGUAGGGAAUCUUCCGCAAUGGGCGAAAGCCUGACGGAGCAACGCCGAGUGAGUGAUGAAGGUCUUCGGAUCGUAAAACUCUGUUAUUAGGGAAGAACAUAUGUGUAAGUAACUGUGCACAUCUUGACGGUACCUAAUCAGAAAGCCACGGCUAACUACGUG
rnacentral:rRNA from 1 species